CCUCCUGAGGCGGUCGCCAUGGCAGCACAGCCCGGAUGCGGGGUUAAGUCCUCUUCGCUGGUCAGGCAGAGAUGGCUGGGUUUGGUCUCAAUGUCCACCUGGAUCUCCAGGAGCGGUGAUGAUUGACAGGGCCACGCCCCCCGUGAUGGCCAGAUUCCUUCGGUGACGAGACGUCUUCUUCAGCUCGUAGUGGGCGUGGAUCUGCGGGAGAGGAGAGGGACGCACGCUGUUUAACACAAACGCUUCAUGACAAAGGAGGAGGUGGUGGUUAAAAUGACAAGAACGUAAACACAGAAAUGAUCGAAUUCACUGUGAUUAUUUACAGGUUUAUGAUCAUCUAUAAUAACAGCGAAUACAUUUUGGGAUGUGUGCUGCUCAUUUAUCACUGCUUUCUAUUGUUUCCUACUUAUUUUCUUGAUGUUUCAAUAGAUUUGUAAUAAAUUUUUAGCUCAUAGAAGAAAAACUACCAUAAAUAAAUGUCUUUAUUGUC